GACGAACGCUGGCGGCGUGCUUAACACAUGCAAGUCGAACGGAAAGGCCCUGCUUUUGUGGGGUGCUCGAGUGGCGAACGGGUGAGUAACACGUGAGUAACCUGCCCUUGACUUUGGGAUAACUUCAGGAAACUGGGGCUAAUACCGGAUAGGAGCUCCUGCUGCAUGGUGGGGGUUGGAAAGUUUCGGCGGUUGGGGAUGGACUCGCGGCUUAUCAGCUUGUUGGUGGGGUAGUGGCUCACCAAGGCUUUGACGGGUAGCCGGCCUGAGAGGGUGACCGGCCACAUUGGGACUGAGAUACGGCCCAGACUCCUACGGGAGGCAGCAGUGGGGAAUAUUGCACAAUGGGCGGAAGCCUGAUGCAGCAACGCCGCGUGCGGGAUGACGGCCUUCGUGUUGUAAACCGCUUUCGCCUGUGACGAAGCGUGAGUGACGGUAAUGGGUAAAGAAGCACCGGCUAACUACGUG
rnacentral:rRNA from 1 species